rnacentral:rRNA from 1 species
AAUGAACGCUGGCGGCAGGCUUAACACAUGCAAGUCGAGCGGAGCGGCGGACGGGUGAGUAAUGCCUAGGAAUCUGCGUGGACGUGGGCGAUAAUGUCCGGUAACGGGCGCUAACACGGCAUACUAUCUGAUGCGCCUAGGUCGGAUUAGCUAGUUGGUGGGGUAAAGGCCUACCAAGGCGACGAUCCGUAACUGGUCUGAGAGGAUGACCAGCCACACUGGAACUGAGACACGGUCCAGACUCCUACGGGAGGCAGCAGUGGGGAAUAUUGCACAAUGGGCGCAAGCCUGAUGCAGCCAUGCCGCGUGUGUGAAGAAGGCCUUCGGGUUGUAAAGCACUUUCAGCGGGGAGGCGUUACCCGCAGAAGAAGCACCGGCUAACUCCGUGCCAGCAGCCGCGGUAAUAC